rnacentral:lncRNA from 1 species
GAGAAUGCCGCGUUUCCUAUUAAGUGGGAUCACCUUGUUUAUUAUAUGUACAUGAUAUAUGAAAGUGGCAACCACUUUCUUUCUUUCUUUCUUUCUUUCGCUUAUUAAUUUAGGGUUGGCCACAUGAUCAUCCAACCAAUUACAACUAGCAAUCAGCUUAAUCAUUUCCGCGUAUUUUACACAAAAUAAAGAAAGAAAGUACAAAUAGUACGGCAGAUUUCACAGAGAUUAUAUUGUCCCCAAUAAUUUUCACACUUCAUUUUAACUCCAUUCUUAGUCUUUGAUUCACCAAAAUGUGGGAAACCAUUUUCUUCAGUCUUGUUUGCUAAAACACAAAACAGUAGCAAUUUCUUUAGGCUAGUUUCAGGCUCCUUCUGCAGUUCUCACCUUUCUGCUCACAAAAUCACUUCAACUAAUGUUUAUGUAUUGUGAGAUUGAUGCAACGUAUUACUUAUUUUUAAUUGAAGCAAAAUGGUGCAAUUGGGUUAAAAUUAUCUCUGCCUUUUAUAAUGUUUUUCAAUGUUGAAGGUUACAAGCUUCUUUUGUAAUUUUGCUCAUAUUGAACUGUGUUUUUAAUUUAAAUUACAGUAUAAAAUACAUUAAUUAUUAAAACUUUAUAUAUUUUUUAAAGUAAAAUUUAUAGGUUAAAUAUCAUUAAAAUUAAUUAUAAAAUAAUUAGCUAAAUAAACAAUAAAUAAUUACAUCAAUAAAAAAUUUAAAAAUGUUUUGAUACAUAUUAUUUUAUUAAUAAAAUAUCCAAAUAGAUUGUUAAAAAUUCAUCCAAAUACGGUGUUAUUAUUUGUGAAAAUAAUACUUUGG